GCGCGUCAGCGGCGACGCGGGAACGAACGUUCGGUGAGACGGCGCGGAGGGGGCUGGGUUUCGACGCCCUGGAAUUCUGCUCGUUUUCCAGGAGUUCCUUGAGGUGGGAGCGCGAGCCGCCGAGGGAGCCGCGACUGAAGCCUUCCCCGAGGAUCCAGUCCAGGAUUCCACGUUGCAUUGAGAUACCAUUUCUCAGUCUCCUUCAGUCUGGAUCAGUUCUUCAGUCUUUUUUCUUGACCGUGACACUGGUACCCAGAGCUGGCCUUGCCAAAUGAAGCUCAGGGAAUCUGCUCCUUCUGGAACACUCCCCAGAGUCAAGAACAAAGUGCUGGAGGCCACUGCUUCUCCUCGGAGCCUCGCAGGGCAGGAGCCCGGCCAGCGGAUCUGGAUCCGGAGUGUUCAAAGUUCAAGGGCUGUACAAGUCCUCAGGAUUCAUUUAGCCCAGAGAAGAGUGUCGACUUUGAGCAGUUCAAGAUGGGACUUGCCCCGGGUCAGAGUGCUCCAGGAUUGCUAAUUCAAAGGCAGGCAUUCCAGAAGAUUCUACGCGGCAGGAGCCAGGCAGGCUUGGCCCGAUGGCUGCUCUCUGAAGACACCACUGAAACACCAACCACCCAGCCUCCUUGGAACAAACUCAUUCCAGACCUGGCAAUUUGGCUUGACAUUGGCUGUGACCUUGGACAGAACCCAAAUCCUUCCAGUUGCUGAUAAAACUUCUGGUCUUGGUUCUUAAAGACACCACUAUGUCUUGGCAUGGGCGGCCCAUUUCCGUGACUUGUUCUCUGGGCCACAUGGGGCCAUGGCGAUUGACAGCUGCUUCUGGGGACGUUAGGUGUCUGCAGAUGGGGCUCCUGUGGGCCUGUGGGCCGGCCUCCACGCCUCAGCACAGCCAGCAGGGCAGGAGGCCCUGGGCACAGCACGGAGAAGGUCCCUUCCCACCACAGGGCACCAAGGCAGGGGGCUCUGUGGACACCGGUCAGCUCGGGACUGCCCAACAGCUACAGGACACCCCUUCCCUCCUGGGAUCUGAGUUUUAAAAAAUAAUGGUGGAAGCUGGAAGCAGCUGAUCCGAGGAGAAGCCCAGUGUGGAGGUGCCCGCUCGUCCAGCGUGGCCCCUUUCAGCUCUCAGGCGGGAUGGGUAGACUUGGACCAAAGUUCAUGGUCCGGCAGAGGAGAGAAGAACACUCAGAAGGAAAAGAUGACCCAGGAGUCACCGGGAAUGAAUGUACCCAAAAGAAGUGAACACAGGUAUUCAAACAAGAAUGUGUGCCCACAGCAGCGCAAAGCUGUAAACAACCCAUGUGAUCAUCAACAUAUGAACAGGUAAAGCCAAAUGUGGACUGUCCGUGCAAGGAAAUAUUAUCUGGCCACAGAAGCAGUGAGGCAAUGAUCCGCGCUACAGUGCGGCUGCAUCUUGCAAGGAUGAUGUGGAGUGACAGAUGCCAGACAAGAAAGGCCACACCCACGUAUGAUUCCACCCGGGUAUGGUGCCCACAACAGGUAGAUCCUGGCAGAAAGCAGGGUGGCGGGUGCCAGCGCCUGGGGAGAGGGAUGGUGGUGACUGCUGAUAGGGGUGGGGUUUGCCUUUGGGGUGAUGGAAUGUUCUGGACUUAGAAGUGGUGGCUGCACAACUCUUAGUGUACUAAAUGCUACUGAAUCGUUCACUUUAAAAUGGCCAGAAUGGUACAUUUUAUAUGUCUGUUCCAACAGGAGACCUCCCACGGGCCAGGUGUUCCAGGUCUCAUUUCAGGGGUAGGAACGCUUUAGGAGGCGGAGGGGCCAGGGCUGAACCCAGGCCAGUGGGCUCCAGCCUGCGAGCGGUUUCCCACCCACAGGCCUCCUGUGAGUGUUUUCUCUUUGGGCCGUCCACUGUGUCACACACACUGCCCACGGCGUGCCGGGGUCCCCAGGGCAGGAGGGGCCCUCACCUCUCCCAUCACAGCAAUGGGCGUCUCUCCGGUCGCCUCGGCGACACGGUGCUCCACCAGGUAGAACAUGUACUCGUCAUAGAGCAGGCGGAUCAGGUGGAAGGAGCCAAAGCUGGCGGCGCUGCGUAGCGUGAGAUCGCGGAUCACCAUGGAGCUGGGGGGAUGGGCAGACAGAGGCUGGGGACUUCCGGGGAGCAUGGACUCGCAGGCAGGCAGUCGGG